GUCCAGCUGUCCUGCCUGACCUUUCAGUUUAAGAUGUGAAACUCAGACCCGCACCUGGUGUUCUAGCUGUCAGAGCAAGAGGAGUGAGGGAACGUUUGUGCCUUAACCAAAAACACCGGAAUGGUGGAACCAGAGUCUCUGAAAUCGGACACCCUCCAGUAAAGAAGCACCCCAUGCGUGAGUGCUCCGGGAGAACACGACAGUGCCGGACCUCGUCUAAAGGCUCAGAAAAGGCACCCGCCUUGCCGUGGUGACAUUCACCCUGGGACAGGAGGCGGGAGGUGACCAUGUGCUGCAUUCUGGCCUGAGACGAGGGUGGAGCUGAUGGGACCCCGAGAAAUCUUUCUAAAGGAGGCUGCCUCUGCGAAGAGAACGCGUUUUCUUUACUCACAGCCCUUCUCUGCCUUCCCGUCUGGACUAGACGAGAUGGCUGUGCUCCAGCAGUCACUUGGAGCCAUGACGUUACCCUGCGGAAGGAAGCCACGCACUGAAGGUGGCCGAGCAGAGUGACAGAGCCUGGCUCCUGAUGACACCAUGGCACGCCCACACCAGCACUUAGCCACCUACCUCCACACUUGUGUCACGUGAGCAAAUGAACCCUCCUCCCUUCAAGCCACUUUAUUCGGAUCUCUAGUCUUGCGCUCCAGUGUGAUUCCUGACUGACAGUCAGCCAUGGCGGAACAUCAUCACUCCCUCCUCGCCAUUCAUCCAGUUUUUAUCCUGUCGUUCAUUCAAUUUUCCAUCACUGAGAGACAGGCCUUGCUCUCCAGGAGCUCAACACUGAAAAGGCAGAACAGCCUUACAAAAUUAACUUUUAGUAUAUAUGAUGAAGGUCACGCUACAGAAAAACGUGCAAAGGCCAUGAAAACCCAAAGAAAAAGGUCUAAAGGAAGCAGCACUGAAGGUUGUCAUAAAAGAUGAGUAGCAAGUUGCCAGGCAGACAGGAAGGAGAAGGCAUUCUUGGCAAAAGGAACGGGAUGUACAAAGGAACAGAGACAUUUGAGCAUGGUGAGU